CGGUACUGAUGAACCCUGGAAUGUGAAGCUGGCUAGGUCGCGGUACUGAUGAACCCUGGAAUGUGAAGCUGGCUAGGUCGCGGUACUGAUGAACCCUGGAAUGUGAAGCUGUCUAGGUCGCGGUACUGAUGAACCCUGGAAUGUGAAGCUGGCUAGGUCGCGGUACUGAUGAACCCUGGAAUGUGAAGCUGUCUAGGUCGCGGUACUGAUGAACCCUGGAAUGUGAUGCUGUCUAGGUCGCGGUACUGAUGAACCCUGGAAUGUGAUGCUGGCUAGGUCGCGGUACUGAUGAACCCUGGAAUGUGAUGCUGGCUAGGUCGCGGUACUGAUGAACCCUGGAAUGUGAUGCUGGCUAGGUCGCGGUACUGAUGAACCCUGGAAUGUGAAGCUGGCUAGGUCGCGGUACUGAUGAACCCUGGAAUGUGAAGCUGUCUAGGUCGCGGUACUGAUGAACCCUGGAAUGUGAAGCUGGCUAGGUUGCGGUACUGAUGAACCCUGGAAUGUGAAGCUGGCUAGGUCGCGGUACUGAUGAACCCUGGAAUGUGACGCUGGCUAGCUGUAGAUCUACUCAGGGUUUAACUUGUACAGGAGGAUACCGCUAUGUAAUGGUAGUUAAACACCACUCGCUCCACAUUAGAUGCGCUCACAGGUGGCAAUUUGAUGGACUUUACUGUAAAGGGCGUAGACACUUACCCCGUAUCUCAGUGACUGAUGCAGUGUGGGUCACGACUAACCACUCCAGUCUAAUCCCCUAUAUC